rnacentral:tRNA from 1 species
UCCCUGGUGGCUCAGAGGUUAAAGCAUCUGCCUGCAAUGCGGGAGACCUGGGUUCGAUUCCUGGGUUGGGAA